rnacentral:sRNA from 1 species
GUUGCCGCAAAAUCGGCAAUCGGGAUUUGCAGCCCGUGUAUUCUACUGGCGACACCAGACGCGCCUUGCGUCUUUUUU